CCUACGGGGGGCAGCAGUGGGGGAUAUUGCACAAUGGGGGAAACCCUGAUGCAGCGACGCCGCGUGGGUGAAGAAGCCCUUCGGCUUGUAAAGCUCUGUCAGCAGGGAAGAAAAUGACGGUACCUGCAGAAGAAGCCCCGGCUAACUACGUGCCAGCAGCCGCGGUAAUACGUAGGGGGCAAGCGUUAUCCGGAUUUACUGGGUGUAAAGGGGGCGCAGACGGCGGUGCAAGUCAGGAGUGAAAGCCCGGGGCUCAACCCCGGGACUGCUUUGGUAACUGGGGGGCUAGAGUGCAGGAGGGGCAGGCGGAAUGCCUGGUGUAGCGGUGAAAUGCGUAGAUAUUAGGAGGAACACCAGUGGCGAAGGCGGCCUGCUGGACUGCAACUGACGUUGAGGCGCGAAAGCGUGGGGAGCAAACAGGAUUAGAUACCCUUGUAGUC
rnacentral:rRNA from 1 species